UACGUACCGUCCAAACGUUAUUCGGAAUUACUGGGCUUAAAGGGUACGUAGGCGGCGCUGUUAGUCGGGUGUGAAAUCCCUCGGCUCAACCGAGGAAUUGCGCCCGAUACUGCAGUGCUUGAGGGAGACAGAGGUAAGCGGAACUGAUGGUGGAGCGGUGAAAUGCGUUGAUAUCAUCAGGAACACCAGUGGCGAAAGCGGCUUACUGGGUCUCUUCUGACGCUGAGGUACGAAAGCUAGGGGAGCGAAG
rnacentral:rRNA from 1 species